CUUGAGUUUAUUUUGCAAGUGCUGUACAUGACAUUAGUGAAUGCUGUGCAAACUUCACACAAACAAAAAUAACUUACAUUCAUGUUAUCUUUCCCAGUUUUUACAGCAUUUUCUUUUUUAUUGCUACAAUUAUUCCAAAACAAAUAAAGGGAAUACAUUUAGUAGCAUGGCACACUCUGCACGAUAUAUUUGAAAGUCAUGUAUUAGUCUGACUAAAUAAAG